ACAUCCAGAGAACUUAGCAGAGAUGCUUUGGUGCCUUCGGGAACUCUGAGACAGGUGCUGCAUGGCUGUCGUCAGCUCGUGUUGUGAAAUGUUGGGUUAAGUCCCGCAACGAGCGCAACCCUUAUCCUUUGUUGCCAGCGGUUCGGCCGGGAACUCAAAGGAGACUGCCGGUGAUAAACCGGAGGAAGGUGGGGAUGACGUCAAGUCAUCAUGGCCCUUACGGCCAGGGCUACACACGUGCUACAAUGGCGCAUACAAAGAGAAGCGACCUCGCGAGAGCAAGCGGACCUCAUAAAGUGCGUCGUAGUCCGGAUUGGAGUCUGCAACUCGACUCCAUGAAGUCGGAAUCGCUAGUAAUCGUAGAUCAGAAUGCUACGGUGAAUACGUUCCCGGGCCUUGUACACACCGCCCGUCACACCAUGGGAGUGGGUUGCAAAAGAAGUAGGUAGCUUAACCUUCGGGAGGGCGCUUACCACUUUGUGAUCCAUGACUGGGGUGAAGUCGUAACAAGGUAAGCGUAGCGAG
rnacentral:rRNA from 1 species